UACGUAGGGGGCAAGCGUUGUCCGGAUUUAUUGGGCGUAAAGAGCGUGUAGGCGGCCAGGUAGGUCCGUUGUGAAAACUCGAGGCUCAACCUCGAGACGUCGGCGGAAACCCUCUGGCUAGAGUCCGGAAGAGAAGAGUGGAAUUCCUGGUGUAGCGGUGAAAUGCGCAGAUAUCAGGAAGAACACCCGUGGCGAAGGCGGACUCCUCUGGGACGGUACUGACGCUGAGACGCGAAAGCGUGGGGAGCGAACAGG
rnacentral:rRNA from 1 species